GAUGAACGCUGGCGGCGUGCCUAAUACAUGCAAGUCGAGCGAACAGACGAGGAGCUUGCUCCUCUGACGUUAGCGGCGGACGGGUGAGUAACACGUGGAUAACCUACCUAUAAGACUGGGAUAACUUCGGGAAACCGGAGCUAAUACCGGAUAAUAUAUUGAACCGCAUGGUUCAAUAGUGAAAGACGGCUUUGCUGUCACUUAUAGAUGGAUCCGCGCCGCAUUAGCUAGUUGGUAAGGUAACGGCUUACCAAGGCGACGAUGCGUAGCCGACCUGAGAGGGUGAUCGGCCACACUGGAACGGAGACACGGUCCAGACUCCUAAGGGAGGCAGCAGUAGGGAAUCUUCCGCAAUGGGCGAAAGCCUGACGGAGCAACGCCGCGUGAGUGAUGAAGGUCUUCGGAUCGUAAAGCUCUGUUAUUAGGGAAGAACAGAUGUGUAAGUAACUAUGCACGUCUUGACGGUACCUAAUCAGAAAGCCACGGCUAACUACGUG
rnacentral:rRNA from 1 species